GGCGUUCGUAAAUGUGGAAAUAAAAGACGAUUGCCUUUUUACGGCGUGGAUACGUUCAAUUUGUCUGAUCUUUCAACCGAAAAGUCACGAUUCUUCAAAAUUAUAAGCACGUAAUUGAAAAUUCCAACGAUGAACAGAACAGAGGAACGUCAGUUCGAUUAUCCCGAUUACGUCGCGUGGAUUUAUAUAACCUACGCAGUGCUUUACUUUAUUGUGUUGAUCUUCGAUUUUUUUGGGAAGAUUAGCGAAACUUUUUCGACAAAUACGCAGAAGUUUCACACAUUCAAGAAAUUUAUAUGUUCCUAUUGAUUAUUGGAGUUCGACAGAGCGAUAAAUUUUCUCGUCCAUGCAAGUAAACAAAUUGAAUGCUUUGUGAGAAUACUUACCCCUCUGCGGAACGUGUGCGGCAGGCGAAGAGGACUCGAGUUCAAUGUCACCACGAUUUUUCACAAAAUUCCAGUCGUCUCUCAAUUUCCUCAAUUUUUCCUGCAAUAGUAAAAUAUGAUUUAACAACCUCUAGUUUGUAAUACUCUUAUUUGUAAUACUUUCACUCGUCGAAUAAAUAUACUAUGCGAAUGAACAAUUUCAAAAAAA